UAUUCCUUUUCAUCAUUGCCUCUUUCUUCUUCUGCCUAAUGUCUCUUUCCUCUCUACUUGUCAUCAUCACUGAUCUUCUUGCUUCUUUUCUCCGUCUGACUUUUCUUUAUCUCCAACAACUCAUUUAUUGAGUCUCACAGAUUCAUGGUCCUUUUUUGCUCAAAGUAUGAAGUUCCAUAUUUUCUUGAUCUGUGUGGCCUCAUAUGUCAAAUGAUCAGAGGAGCUCCAAAACCAAUAAGCAAAAGCCAGAACCCCAGCUACUCUGCUGCAGCAACAAACUAGCCAAUUGCCCAAAAUAAAUAACUCAGCCUUGAAACGCCAAGUCAUGGAACCUUCUGAUUCUCCUUCUGCUCCUCUUAAUCAUUUUGCAGCAAUUAUUAUAGGCAACAACGAGGAAAUCUUAAAGCAUCUUUUACUUCACUUAGCCCCAAAAUCCCUCAUUCGAUUUCAACCCGUCUCCAAGCAAUGGCAUUCUCGAUUUUAUCCCACCACCACAAAGACAACUUCCUCCUCUGGCACUGCUGCAGACUCUGGAGCCUUUGUUUUCAUCCACCACAAGCGGGGGACAGGCUUAAUUUCAUUUCCUUCCACCAAGAAAAUGCAAGUUCAGUGGGUACCACAGUUUCCAACUUGAGCAAUUUCAUUUCCUUUCAAGAUGGGCAGUUUCAGGAUUUCAUUAUUGCAAUGGGUUAUUAGUUCUUGUGUUUCAAUCAAAAGAUGAUGGUCACAAAGACUUUCUUGUGUAUAACCCUACUAGCAGUCAGCAGAGGCAUAUUCCAAGGAUCAAUCUAUUGGAAAGGGAACGUUGCUUUGUGGCUCUGAACAUUGUGUUUCAUCCCAUAGAAUCUGAUGGCUACAAAGUUGUCUGUGUAUGGUCAGAACGUUACAUGCCAAGGAAUGACAUGAGUCGAACCCCUUUAAGGAGAUAUGGAUUCUCUAUAUAUUCAUCUGAAACUGGGACUUGGAAGGACACUAAGGCCAUAAAUGGGAGGGACUUUGUGUAUAUUUAUUUCAUGAAUGGAAUGUUGUGUAAUGGUGAUCUUCAUUGGGUAAGUGGUAGGAGGGAGACUUUAUGCUUUGAUUUAGAUAAAGAAUGCCUUAACUUAACAGUGCCUUCUCCUCGUAUGCAUCAUAGUGAGUCGGAUAUUUGGUACUUUGGAGUGUCUUGAAGCUGUUUGUAUCUUAUUGAGGUCAAUUGCCCACAAGCGCUGUUGUUCGACAUUUUUGAGUUGAAAGGGGACUAUUCUGAAUGGGUUUUGAAGUGUCAAACAGACCUCACUCCUGUUACAACUUCGUAUCCUUCAGUGGUGGAUGAAGUUUCUGGUCCGUUUGGUGAUGGUCGAUGCAGAUUUUGUAUAACUUGUUUUCGUGAGAAUGAUGAGAAAAAGCCGAGGCUUCUGAUUUCUCCAUGGACUCUAGUUAAAAUCCUCACAAGCUUUUUGAUGAAAAGUCAACCCAUAACCUCAAUUUUCCAAAUUCUUUGGUGAUGUGCCUUUGCAUUGCAAUUUGCAUAUCCCCAUCCCUAAUUGAUGUUCUGAUUUUAGUUUUUGCAAAUUUUUAAUUUCCGAUUUGGAAAUCUUUAUCAGUUGUUAAUUUCUUUUACACGAAUCUAGUGGCUAGUUGGGGUU